rnacentral:rRNA from 1 species
AUUAGACCAGUGGCGAAGGCGAAUGCCUGGGCAAUUCCUGACACUGAGGCACGAAGGCCAGGGGAGCAAACGGGAUUAGAUACCCCGGUAGUCCUGGCAGUAAACGGUGCACGUUUGGUGUGGGAGGAUUCGACCCCUUCCGUGCCGGAGCUAACGCGUUAAACGUGCCGCCUGGGGAGUACGGUCGCAAGAUUAAAACUCAAAGAAAUUGACGGGGACCCGUACAAGCGGUGGAGUAUGUGGCUUAAUUCGAUGCAACGCGAAGAACCUUACCUGGCCUUGACAUGCAUCUCUAAUCCGGUGAAAGCCGGUGAGUGUAGCAAUACACAAUUUGCACAGGUGCUGCAUGGCUGUCGUCAGCU